rnacentral:rRNA from 1 species
GAUGAACGCUGGCGGCGUGCCUAAUACAUGCAAGUCGAGCGAACAGACGAGGAGCUUGCUCCUCUGACGUUAGCGGCGGACGGGUGAGUAACACGUGGAUAACCUACCUAUAAGACUGGGAUAACUUCGGGAAACCGGAGCUAAUACCGGAUAAUAUAUUGAACCGCAUGGUUCAAUAGUGAAAGACGGUUUUGCUGUCACUUAUAGAUGGAUCCGCGCCGCAUUAGCUAGUUGGUAAGGUAACGGCUUACCAAGGCAACGAUGCGUAGCCGACCUGAGAGGGUGAUCAGCCACACUGGAACGGAGACACGGUCCAGACUCCUACGGGAGGCAGCAGUGGGGAAUAUUGCGCAAUGGGCGAAAGCCUGACGCAGCAAUGCCGCGUGAGUGAAGAAGGUCUUCGGAUCGUAAAGCUCUUUUAUUAGGGAAGAAAAACAGCGGAAGUAACCCUGGACGUCUUGACGGUACCUAAUCAGAAAGCCACGGCUAACUACGUG